AUACGGAGGGUGCAAGCGUUAAUCGGAAUUACUGGGCGUAAAGCGCGCGUAGGCGGUUUGAUCAGUCGGAUGUGAAAGCCCUGGGCCCAACCUGGGAACUGCAUUCGAUACUGUCAGACUAGAAUAUGGUAGAGGGUAGUGGAAUUCCUGGUGUAGCGGUGAAAUGCGUAGAUAUCAGGAGGAACAUCAGUGGCGAAGGCGGCUACCUGGACCAAUAUUGACGCUGAGGUGCGAAAGCAUGGGUAGCAAACGGGAUUAGAUACCCUAGUAGUCC
rnacentral:rRNA from 1 species